UGGAUCACCUCCUAACAGGGAGACAAACAACGAUUUUGAUGCCUGAGUACAUUUAUUCUUAGGCCGAAAUCCUGUCACCUUAGGUCGAUCGGUACCUCAGAUUUGAAGUUCAAGAAUCAGCAGCAAUGUUGAGGAGAUGAGUAACGAAUUUCAGUUCCUAAACUUUGUCUAGGUCACACCCCACAAGGGUUGAGUUUUCCUGGGCCAUUAGCUCAGGUGGUUAGAGCGCACCCCUGAUAAGGGUGAGGUCCCUGGUUCAAGUCCAGGAUGGCCCAUUCGGUGUUGGGGGUUUAGCUCAGUUGGUAGAGCGCCUGCUUUGCAAGCAGGAUGUCAGGAGUUCGAGUCUCCUAACCUCCACUGACCGAACUCAAUGUCCAGCUUUACAUCGAAUGAUGGAAAGCCACUCGAUUGUGAUGUGUGACGUAGACGUGUCCGCUGGAUGACCCCAGCUUCCUGUCAUUCCAGGAUCAGAACAGAAGUUUUGACUUGGUUGAUAAGACGCUGGGCUCAAAUGGGAUUGUUGAGCAAUCAACAGUUUGAUUUGAAGUCUGGCAGAACCUUGACAACUGCAUAGGUGAGUCUGGAAAAAACAAAGCAUCUCAUGGAUGCAUUGUUUUGAGUCCAAACCCUCGAAAGAGGGAAUGGAUCCAGAGCAAUGAAAAUUCUUUUGAGCAAGAGCCGAGACUCUUGAACGUUCUUUGAUGUGUGUCGAGCAGAUCAGAGUUUGAUUUUGUUUUUGAGAUCAGUGAAAACUGAGCUGAAAAACAUAAGAAUCCGUUUUCAACGACGGUCAGCGUUCAGGAGAUUAAUUGGUCAAGCUACAAAGGGCUCACGGCGGAUACCUUGGCACACAGAGGCGAUGAAGG
rnacentral:tRNA from 1 species